rnacentral:tRNA from 1 species
CGCGGGGUGGAGCAGUCUGGCAGCUCGUCGGGCUCAUAACCCGAAGGUCG